AUACGUAGGGGGCGAGCGUUGUCCGGAAUGAUUGGGCGUAAAGGGCGCGUAGGCGGCCCGGUAAGUCUGGAGUGAAAGUCCUGUUUUUAAGAUGGGAAUUGCUUUGGAUACUGUCGGGCUUGAGUGCAGGAGAGGUAAGUGGAAUUCCCAGUGUAGCGGUGAAAUGCGUAGAGAUUGGGAGGAACACCAGUGGUGAAGGCGACUUACUGGACUGUAACUGACGCUGAGGCGCGAAAGUGUGGGGAGCAAACAGGAUUAGAUACCCUGGUAGUCCACACUGUAAACGAUGAAUGCUAGGUGUAGGGGGUAUCGACCCCUUCUGUGCCGCAGUCAACACAAUAAGCAUUCCGCCUGGGGAGUACGGCCGCAAGGUUGAAACUCAAAGGAAUUGACGGGG
rnacentral:rRNA from 1 species